rnacentral:lncRNA from 1 species
UUCUUCCCUUCUCCUCUCUCACAUUUCUUCAAUUCUUCCAUAAGAGUUUUCUUCAAGCUUCCAUAACUUUCUCUCUCUAGCUCCAAUUUUCAUGCUUUUGGUGUACUCUUCCAAACCCUUAUAUUCUUUCAUCCUCUCACUUUAAAACCCUUCAAAAAUCUGGUUUUCAUACUUUCUCUCACUAGUUGGACGUUUUAGAGAGAGAAAGAGAGAGUUACCCAAUUGAUUUGGAAGCAAUUGGAAGAGAAUUUGACUACAAAGGAGCCUUAGGGUAAGUGAUGAAUUAAGCUUGGUUUUUAGCUGCAGAAAAUGGCUAGUAAUUGGGUUUUAUGAGCUGUUUAUUGUUGAUUAUGUUCAUUACUUUUAGUGAUUAAGAUAGUGAACAUAAAUUGCCAUUUAAUGUGGCAAUUGAAAGCUAGUUUAGAGAUAGCUUUUAGGGGUCAUAGUGUGUAAAUUGACCUAUUGCUUAUGCUAAUGUGAUCCUAGGUUUUAAGAAAGCCCCAUCAUCUCAUUUGGAUAAUUAGGGGAAUUGGAGUCAUCUAAAGGCUUUAUAAUCAAUUGGUGAGUGGACUACCUUCAAAACUUGUUUUGGGAAAUAUAAUGUAUUUGCCACCCAUAUGAAUGAAUUACCAAGUUUUUCAUAAAGACAAGUGCCUUGGGAACAAGCUUUUGCAAAAUGGUUUUAUAUUGUGAUAUGUGAAUGCUAUGGAUUCAUGCACUAUUGUAGUAUGAUGAUAUAUAAAUGUGUGUGUUGUGCAUGAUGAAUGAUAUUGUGUAUAAUGACUGUAACCGUGUGUGUGCACGAUGUGGGGGGAUGCACAUGCCGGUGAUGAUGGUGGCGUGAGAGGUGGAUGAUGAUAGUGCCCGUGUGCACGAUGUGGGGGGGAUGUACACGAUGGCACUGAUUGUGCACGAUGUGGGGGGAUGCACACGAUGGUGCUUGCUACGUGCACGAUUUGGGGGGAUGUACAUGAGCCGGGUGUGUUUAUGAUGAUGUUGAUGUUUAUCUAUGUAAUUAUGCAUAUCUAGACUUAUGAAAUGAAAACUUAUGAAUGUGAUAUGUGAUUGACAUAUAUGAGAAAUUUGAUACAUUGCACUUUGGAAAUUUUCAUGUGCUAUAUGUUGAUUUUGUUGGUUUAGCAGGAUGGCCUUUUUGUUGAGUGAGGGAAACGCUUCUCUAGUUGCUCUGUUUUCGCUGCAGCGAAAUUCAUUCUCGCUGCAGCGAGAAACUCUCGAGUUUGAGAACUUUCACCAGAAUUGGUUCUCGCUGCAACGAGAAUGUAUUUCGCUGUAGCAAGAUAGUCAUCGUAGCUUCUCGCUGUAGCGAAAAAGGAAUCUCGCUGCAGCAAAAAACUCUCUAUUUCAUCAGUGAAAUUUCGCUGCAACGAGAAAUCUUCUGUUUUUGGGUUACAAUUUCACCGCAGCGAGAAAAAAUCUCGCUGCAGCAAAAAACCUUCUGUUUUGGUCUCCUAUUUUGUCCAAUUGCUACCCUAUCUUUCACUUUUUUACUACCAUAUCAGAGCAUGGACUUCCUACAUUAACGAUUAAAUGAGUUAAGUUUAAAGGGAGGAGGUUCAGUGAGAAAUCCUCGGCCAGUUGAGAAACCCUCGUUCGACUAAUAACUAAAGCCCAACGUCGCUACAGCGGAAAGGCAUUCAUUCUUCAAAUGGUUCGUUAUGUAUGGGUUCAUGAUUUUCAAAUAAUUAAUCAUUUAAGGGCUUGAUGAGGGGUUUUUAAUAAGAAUAUAAACAAAUUGCAUUGUUUUGAAAAAGAAUGCAUCAUGAUUUCAUUAAAGAUUCCUUAUGGUAUGCUUGUUCCCUUCCUUGUUCACUCACUGGGUUUAUACUCACCAUUUUCAACUUCAUGUUUUCAGAUCACGAGGCAGCCGGUAACUAGGAUGAGAUGUCCUUAUAGACUUGUACACAUCUUUUGGUAGGUGUCUCGGCAUUCAAUAGCUGUACAUUCGUCCGAGUCCCUCCGCUGGAAAUCG